AGAGAGAGAGAGAGAGAAUCUCAAGCAGGCUCCAUGCUGUCAACAGAGAGCCCGAUGUGGGACUCAAUUUCACGAAGCGCAAGAUCGUGACCUGAGACAAAAAUCAAGAGUUGGACACUCAACUGACUGAGCCACCCAGGUGCCCCUCUGAGUGGGGACUCAAUGGAAGCUCCUUGUGGGACACCCAGGACUAGGAAUAUUGAUCUGCAAUUUCAUCUAAGAGUGAGAAGGGUCAACAAUCAAGUACAGGUCAGCUUGACCUUGGAAAGGUCAGCUUCAGAAUAGCGGCUGUUAGUAGUCACGACUGAGGCAACUCCAGAGCACCCAAAGCAUUACCACAGUGUACCUUAACCCACGGUGGCGAUCCCUCCUCUGGACUGGCUGAUGGCAAGGACAGCCUCAAUCUCUCUUCUCUGAGGUCCCCUAAAUCCCCAAACGAUUUUUUAAAAUCCUGUCUGAUGUCGGAUUUCUUUUUUGCACAGUGUUAAUAUUUUAAAGCCCCAAGAAAAAUCCCAAAGCAAAUUCUUCCCACUCAAGUGAACCAAGCUCUAAACUUACAACAAGAAAAGAGAAUAUGGCCCAUGGCAGAGAAACUGAAAAUGCAGGGAAUGCUUAAAGGGUAACCCUUCCAGGAUGAAAUCAGCCUUUCCCUUGUUUUCUGAUUUUUUUUCUUUUUAAAAAAUACUUUCCAAAAACCCCAAAGAAAAAGAACAGC